UAUAUAUUUUUUUAAAUAAUAAAAAUAAAAUGGUGCAGUUACUCCUUCAUCCGUAGGUAUUCAAACAAAAAUUAAUACAGGAAUAUACACAGCAGCAUUACUCACAAUAAUCAAAAGGUGGGAAAAAAACAAAUAUCUAUCAACUGAUUAAUGGAUGAACAGAAGGUGGAAUACCCAUAUAAUGGAAUAUUAUUUGGUCAUAAGAGGAAGGAAGUCCUGAUACAUGUCACAAUGUGGAUAAAACUUGAAAACAAUGUGCUAAGUGAAAGAAGCCAGUCACAAAAGGUCACAUGUCAUAUGAUUCCAUCUACAUGAAAUUCUAAGAAUAGGCAGCUCCUUAGAGACAGAAAGCUGAUCAGUGGUCUCCAGGGGCUGGAAGGAGCAGGGAGUAGCUGCUAAUGGCUAUGGGGUUUCUUUCUGGGAUGCUAAACGCGUUCUGGGAAGUUGACACAGAGGCAUGUACUGUUGGUAUGCACUAUAUUUGAAACGUACUAAAUGCCACUGAAUUGUAGAGUUUAAAAUGUUAAACUGUAUGUUAUGUGAAUGUUACCUCAAUUUUAAUAAAAGUAAACCAGGCAUCUCAUGUAUGCCCUGUUUGGACACAGAAGGAGGGGGGUGGGGGGAGGACACACAGUGUUACAUGAACUCUGACUGUUUUCUCCUCCCACUGAAGACUUCACAGCUGUGCUCAAACCCGCAAGGGCCCAGAACAAGAUCUGGGAAGCAGACACACACGCCAAUACCGUGGAACCACAGGGACUGGACAGAAAGGGAUAGACUUCCUCUGGAUGAGGAAACUGAGGCCCAGAAAGGAUAAGGAACAAGCUCUACAUCACACAGCAAGCAGGUGACUGAAGGUGGAAUUGAACUGGGACUGGCUGACUCCUGAGCUACCACACAGCCUCUUCAUUCCCUCAGCUGAUAGGUGCCUCGACUGUUCCUGGGGCUGGGACCAGGGUGAUAAAGGGCAAGGUCCUGACUCCCCUGGAGUUUACUAGUAUGUUCUGAUUGGCAGCAGGAGAGAUAAAUAAUAAAUCAAUAAUAAGUGA